GGAUGUGAGGGCGAUCUGGUUGUGACAUCCGUCACCCCAUUGAUCGCCAGGGUUGAUUCAGCUGAUCUGGCUGGCUGGGUGUCCCCUUCAUCACUCAAUGCUGCAUGUGCGUCCCUCCCGAAGCUGUGUGCUCCGUUGAAGAGGACAACUACCCCCGAAAGAGGAGGGCCACUCCUCAGUCAGGGGUAUAGGAGUAGCUGCGCUCCCCUGCUAGAACCUCCAAACAAAAACAGAAAAUACAAAUUAAGAUGGCAGAGGUCCAAAUGUCAAUGACCACAAUAAAGUUAUAUUAAUUUCUCCUAU
rnacentral:snRNA from 1 species